AUGAGCCUCACUAUCUUUUGUGUGACUCUUUGUCUCCUGGGAGAAGGCCCCAUGGAUGCUGCAAUCACCCAGAUGCCAAGAUACCAUAUUAUACAAACAGGAACCAAGAUGACCCUGGAAUGUUCCCAGGAUAUGAACCAUUUUGCAAUGUUCUGGUAUCGACAAGACCCAGGACAUGGGCUGAGGCUGAUCCAUUAUUCAAGUGGUACCACAAGCACUGUCAAAGGGGAUGUCGCAGAAGGGUACAGUGUCUCCCGAAACAAGCAGGAGCAUUUCCCCCUGACCCUGGAGUCUUCCAGCACCAACCAGACCUUUCUGUACCUCUGUGCCAGCAGUGAAUCCACAAUGCUGCUCAGCCACCUGCACAAAAAGCUCAACCACAAGCCUGGAAGAUACUCCUUCCUGAGAUCCUGCCUCAUAAUGGGGAAAAAACUGCCCUUACUGAGGUUUUCACCUGACUUCCUAGCACUGGGAUCUCAGGCUGGGGGGGCGGGUGUGGGGGGGAGCCUUGAGCAGGAUGACCCUCAGUGUGAACUGUGCUCCAUCAUUGUGCGAGGGGGUGUGAAAGUAGAUGCAAAGAGCACCUAA